AUAACGUUUCCAUGGAAAUCAUCGUUUUAUAAUUUUAGAUCCACAAAAUCGUCUUCCUUUCCUCCUCUUUCAGCCACCAUCACCAUCACGACCUCUCUCCCACCACCACCACCUCCGCCAUCACCACCACCUCCGCCACGGUAUCAACAAAUUGACACUAACAAAACCAUUUCAUACUUAUUUUUGGUUCAUUUGAGUGAGAGAGAUUUUCAGAGAUGAUUUGAAACUUCGAGAGAUAUCUUCUUCCGAGAUCAAUCAAAUCUUCGAAAUCGAACUGGAUAGUCACCAUCAACAGUUGAUCUUCUUCUAAUUUCAAGUUUAUUUCGGUGUCAAUUGAAGAUCCAUAAGAUCGAUACACAGAUUUAGGUUUUCGAUUUCGUUUACUGGAGCAAUCAUCAUCAUGUAAAAGAUAAGGAGAAAUUGGAGAUUUUUAUCGUUGAUGCUGUUGGUGGAUGCCGGUAAAUGGGUGGUGGUGCACAGUAAUAUGGGAUGUUUGGUUUUGGAUGAGCUUACAAAUUUGCCGUUAUUCAGCUUGGUCUUUUUUGUCAAUUGGAUGAAAAAAGUUAUUUGGUUGUUUAGGAAGUGUAUAUGCUUUGCAGAAAAUAUUGAUGCGGGUGUUCCAUAAAUGCAGGGGAGUAUAUUUUGUGCUUGGAUGACAGCUUGUGGGACGAACAGGCUCUUUAGCAUUUUGAGAAUAAAGUUGUAUGGACAACCACAUAGUAGAAGAAGACAGACACAUGCAUAUCAAUUUUUUGAAUCACUAUGAGACGUUUUGUGGAGUUGUGAGAGAAGAGUCUGGCUGGGUUCAUUUUGUGGAGUUGUGAGAGAAGAGUCUGGCUGGGACUAUUUCGGAAGGCAUGACCAGGAUUGAUGCUGUUCAUUUUGUAGAGUUGUGAGAGAAGAGUCUGGCUACAGUUGUUAUGAAGAUAUAGAUACUGGAGUUGUGGCCGCAGUUGGUUUUCCGCGGGUUCAAAUGGCCGGGUGAUGGAGCUAUGCAGGGAGUCUCAGUGGCGGUGAUGUUUUUCUACAACAACAGUGGAUAUUAUUCAGUGUCGAAGCUGGGUUCCACUGGUGGAGCUAACUGGUGCCUGCAUUUAAGGUAUACCUUUAGUGGGAAAUUAUCUUUAUGUAUACAUCUUUGAGUAAUCACGACGAAUCUGUGGUGCAAUGGUAGCAUAACUGACUAUAUGUCAGAAGAUGUGUGUUCGACUCACACUAGGUUCACUUUUUUGAGUACAAUUUUAUUUUUUGGAGACGACUUGUGAUAGUUUCCUCCAUAUAUGAAGACAACUUGCGCUAGUUGCUUUCACUUUUGAAGACAACUUUGUGCUAGUUGCCUUCACUUUUGAAGACAACUUGAGCUAGUUGCCUUAGAUUCGGAGACAACUUGAUUUAGUUGGUUUCAUUUUGUUUUGCAA